rnacentral:lncRNA from 1 species
CUGAAAUAUGACAUCUUUUCAAAGGCAGAUAGGAGAACAAAACUUUGUGGGCGCCAGGCGGCAGCAGCUCCUGGGAGGGUCAGAGUCGGGGUGAGGUCCAGGAUGAAGCCCCAGGCCAGGGCAGUCUCUGUGUGGACCUGGGGCCCUGGGUUCCCGGGUGUGGCCUUGCUUUCGUGCCUCACUAAAAAUGAGCUCAUGACGAGGCUGGGGAGGCAGCGAGGAAGCCCUCGUACCUGGGUCUGAUGGAGCCCAGCCGGGUUUGAAUUCUGUUCUCCCACUCACAGGCUGCACGACUCAGUGAGGUGCGGCUUCCUCCCCUGUGACCUGGGGCAACAGUAACGCUGCUGACCUCACAGAUCCAGGCAGGGAGCCUCAGAUGAUCUGUGCUGUCUCCCCUCUUGUAGCCCAGUGGUACAGGCCCCCAGCACCGGCCACCUCCUGCCCCGUGGCACUGCCUGAGGAGUCCUUGCUCAUCCUUCUUCAGGAUCAGGACAGCCGUGGAGCUUCUUCUGGUGUCUGUUUCCCCAGCUACCAAGUUCAUUGAGGACUUAGAGAACCGCAUCCAACUAGGGGUUGG